rnacentral:rRNA from 1 species
UACGUAGGGGGCAAGCGUUGUCCGGAUUUAUUGGGCGUAAAGAGCGUGUAGGCGGUCAGGUAGGUCCGUUGUGAAAACUCGAGGCUCAACCUCGAGACGCCGAUGGAAACCAUCUGACUAGAGUCCGGAAGAGGAGAGUGGAAUUCCUGGUGUAGCGGUGAAAUGCGCAGAUAUCAGGAAGAACACCCGUGGCGAAAGCGGCUCUCUGGGACGGUACUGACGCUGAGACGCGAAAGCGUGGGGAGCGAACAGG